GACGAACGCUGGCGGCGUGCUUAACACAUGCAAGUCGAACGGAAAGGCCCUGCGGUUGUGGGGUGCCCGAGGGGCGAACGGGUGAGUAACACGCGAGUAACCUGGCCUUGACUUGGGGAUAACUUCAGGAAACGGGGGCGAAUACCGGAUAGGAGCUCCUGCUGCAUGGGGGGGGUUGGAAAGUUUCGGCGGUUGGGGAUGGACUCGCGGCUUAUCAGCUUGUUGGUGGGGUAGGGGCUUACCAAGGCUUUGACAGGUAGCCGGCCUGAGAGGGUGACCGGCCCCAUUGGGCCUGAGCUACGGCCCGGCCUCCUACGGGAGGCAGCGGUGGGGAAGAUUACACAAUGGGCGGAGGCCUGAUGCAGCACCGCCGCGUGCGGUAUGUCAGCCUUCGGGUUGUAUACCGAUUUCGCCUGUGACGAAGCGUGAGUGACGGUAAUGGGUAAAGAAGCACCGGCUAACUACGUG
rnacentral:rRNA from 1 species